rnacentral:misc_RNA from 1 species
CCGGAGCCCAAUGGGGCAUCUAUGAUGCUUUCAAAGUGUUUGUUGGGCUGCCAACUACUGGUGGCGUUUCUCCUCCACCUGCUGCUGCUAAGGCUUGAACCUAGAGCCGGUGGGCCAAGAUGACCUUGCGAAGGAACUUGUGAGCAUGCCUUCUUGAUGGGUAAAUAAUAGUUAAUUAGCUGAUGCCUAGCUCCCGUAACAGCAUCAGUUUCUAGCGGCCAGUUCUUUCAAACUAUAAACUCUAUUUAAUUUGUUUCAUCCAUUUUGCUUGAUUCCUGGGAGGGUUUUGAUUUCAUCCUCACCUUUAGCUCUAGGCUCUUAAGUCCACGUUACA